rnacentral:rRNA from 1 species
ACUCCUACGGGAGGCAGCAGUGGGGAAUUUUGCGCAAUGGGGGAAACCCUGACGCAGCAACGCCGCGUGAGUGAUGAAGGCCCUUGGGUCGUAAAGCUCUGACAGAGGGAAAGAAGUGUAGAGUGGCUAAUAUCCACAUUACUUGACGGUACCCUCAAAGGAAGCACCGGCUAACUCCGUGCCAGCAGCCGCGGUAAUACGGGGGGUGCAAGCGUUGUUCGGAUUUAUUGGGCGUAAAGCGCGUGUAGGCGGUUUUUUAAGUCUGAUGUGAAAGCCCUGGGCUCAACCCGGGAAGUGCAUUGGAUACUGGAAGACUUGAAUACGGGAGAGGGCAGUGGAAUUCCUAGUGUAGGAGUGAAAUCCGUAGAUAUUAGGAGGAACACCGGUGGCGAAGGCGGCUGCCUGGACCGAUAUUGACGCUGAGACGCGAAAGCGUGGGUAGCAAACAGGAUUAGAUACCCUGGUAGUCCACGCUGUAAACGAUGAGAACUAGGUGUCGCGGGUA